rnacentral:rRNA from 1 species
UACAGAGGGGGCAAGCGUUGUUCGGAAUUACUGGGCGUAAAGGGCGCGUAGGCGGCCACCUAAGUCAGACGUGAAAUCCCUCGGCUCAACCGGGGAACUGCGUCUGAUACUGGGCGGCUUGAAUUCGGGAGAGGGAUGCGGAAUUCCAGGUGUAGCGGUGAAAUGCGUAGAUAUCUGGAGGAACACCGGUGGCGAAGGCGGCAUCCUGGACCGAGAUUGACGCUGAGGCGCGAAAGCUAGGGGAGCAAACGGG